GUGGUUUGUUGUGGUGUUGUGUGGUGGGUUGUGGUGUUAUGUGGUGGGUUGUGGUGUUGUGUGGUGGGUUGUGGUGUUGUGUGGUGGUUUGUUGUGGUGUUGUAUGGUGGGUUGUGGUGUUGUGUGGUGGUUUGUUGUGGUGUUGUGUGGUGGGUUGUGGUGUUGUGUGGUGGUUUGUUGUGGUGUUGUGUGGUGGGUUGUGGUGUUGUGUGGUGGUUUGUUGUGGUGUUUUGUGGUGGGUUGUGGUGUUGUGUGGUGGGUUGUGGUGUUGUGUGGUGGGUUGUGGUGUUGUGUGGUGGGUUGUGGUGUUGUGUGGUGGGUUGUGGUGUUAUGUGGUGGUUUGUUGUGAUGGGUUGUGGUGUUGUGUGGUGGGUUGUGGUGUUAUGUGGUGGGUUGUGGUGUUAUAUGGUGGUUUGUUGUGGUGUUUUGUGGUGGGUUGUGAUGUUGUGUGGUGGGUUAUGGUGUUGUGUGGUGUUGUGUGGUGGGUUGUAGUGUUGUGUGGUGGUUUGAUGGUGUUGUGUGGUGGGUUGUGGUGUUAUGUGGUGGUUUGUUGUGGUGGGUUUUGUUGUUUUUGGUGGGUUGUAGUGUUGUGUGGUGGGUUGUUGUGUUAUGUGGUGGGUUGUGGUGUUUGUUGUGGGUGGGUUGUUGUGUUAUGUGGUGGGUUGUGGUGUUAUAUGGUGGUUUGUUGUGGUGUUUUGUGGUGGGUUGUGGUGUUGUGUGGUGUUGUGUGGUGGGUUGUAGUGUUAUGUGGUGGUUUGUGGUGUUGUGUGGUGGGUUGUGGUGUUGCGUGGUGAGUUGUGGUGUUAUGUGUUGGGUUGUGGUGUUGUGUGGUGGGUUGUGGUGUUGUGUGGUGGGUUGUGGUGGUUUGUAGUGUUGUGUGGUGUGUUGUGGUGUUGUGUGGUGUGGUGUUGUGUGGUGGGUUGCGGUGUUAUGUGGUGGGUUGUAGUGUUGUGAGAUAUAUUCAAAUAGCCUCAUGGCUGUAAUUCAAGCAAAAGAUGGUUCCACCGAAGUGUUAACUCAGGGUGUU
ensembl:lncRNA